rnacentral:rRNA from 1 species
GAUGAACGCUGGCGGCGUGCCUAAUACAUGCAAGUCGAGCGAACAGAUGAGGAGCUUGCUCCUCUGACGUUAGCGGCGGACGGGUGAGUAACACGUGGAUAACCUACCUAUAAGACUGGGAUAACUUCGGGAAACCGGAGCUAAUACCGGAUAAUAUAUUGAACCGCAUGGUUCAAUAGUGAAAGACGGUUUUGCUGUCACUUAUAGAUGGAUCCGCGCCGCAUUAGCUAGUUGGUAAGGUAACGGCUUACCAAGGCAACGAUGCGUAGCCGACCUGAGAGGGUGAUCGGCCACACUGGAACUGAGACACGGUCCAGACUCCUACGGGAGGCAGCAGUUGGGAAUCUUCCGCAAUGGGCGAAAGCCUGACGGAGCAACGCCGCGUGAGUGAUGAAGGUCUUCGGAUCGUAAAACUCUGUUAUUAGGGAAGAACAAAUGUGUAAGUAACUAUGCACGUCUUGACGGUACCUAAUCAGAAAGCCACGGCUAACUACGUG